ensembl:lncRNA
CCACCAUUGGCCUUGUUCCCUCGUUUUCUUCUCGGACUGACUGUAAACAUUUCGACUACACGUGUGGGAGGAAACAGAAAAUAUCUGCUUUUAGAAGAUAGCACAGCGUGCGCUUCUUAUUCUUUCUUUCUGUUUCUCAUCUCUUUUGGCUGCAGUUACAUUCCAGAGGCUUUUACUCUGGCUGGACCGUAGAUUUCUCCCUGCAGGGCAUUUCGGUUAGUCUUGUAUUGUGUGAGCAGCCUGGUGCUGGAAAUACUGAAAAAGACAUUUGAACAUCAGAACUCGGUCAGAUCUUCCUGUGUGAGGCACUGCAGGUGAAAGGAGACUCACAUUUGUGCCUCCAAAGCCACAAAGGUGUCAACGCCUUAUCAUGCGAUUGUAGCAGCUUUCAGAGACACUGUUGCAUUUUUUAGUUUGUGGAAUAUACUAAAUGCCUAAUUUGCACUGAAAAAUUAGUUUUCAGAAGUGUCCCGUUGGAUUUGUUUUGUGUAUCCGGAGGCGAUUUAGUGUCUCCUGGUACUCUGUGAGCUUUUUCGUUACUUUGCAUCAGUUUGUUAUUACUUUAAGUUGUGUCUCUUUGUUUUGCCUCUUUUCAUCAUCACUGUACAUUUCUUUGCAGUUAUUUAAUCGGCUCUUCUUAUUCAAUCUGCCGGUUGGUGUCUCUUCGGGUGACACUUUACACCAUUGUUGUGAAAUUACAAAAAUAAAUAAAAACUAUACAGAAAAUAAAAAAAGAAACACUUUUCAAUUCUAAACAACAACCCCAUCACUCAGCUGCCAGCGAGUCUCAGGACCGCUUCACAUUUUUUUUUUCCCUUUCAAUCAGAUUCCCUGCUUGUUGGAAAGAGGCUGAUGGAUGCUCCCUGACUGAGGUAGUGCGGGAUCGUUUACUCUGUAGGAGCGUCGGACGUUGACACAUGAGGGUGUAGAAGUAGACAGGAUUUCAUAUUGAUUCAACCUCAAACCUUUAAACAAACACAAUCUCCCCAAUGUUCCGCCAAACAUCUUUGUGUGUUCAUUGGAAAUCCACAUUUUAUGUUGUCAUCUCAUGACUUCAGAUUAAUGGAAGCGCUUGGAAAUGUUGGAGGAACUGAAUUAACCACAUGAGAAUCUUCUUGACGUGUUCCUGCCUGUGUUUUUAUCUCUCCAUUCCCCCGAAACCACACUGGCCGAGUUUCCACAUCUACGAUGGUGCUCCAGCACUUUUACCCUGACAGGGAACCGCGCACGUUAUCCAAGCUAAGAGACUACGAGCCUUAAAACACCUUCGGUGGCUGAACAGGACUGCGGUAAAGUGGACUGCGGUGAAGUGGACUGCAGUGAAGUGGACUACAGGGAACUGGACUGCAGGGAAGUGAAGUGGACUGUAGUAAAGUGGACUGUAGUGAAGUGGACUACAGUGAAGUGGACUGCAGGGAACUGGACUACAGUGAAGUGGACUGCAGUGAAGUGGACUACAGUGAAGUGGACUACAGGGAAGUGGAGUGCAGUGAAGUGAAGUGGACUAUAGUGAAGUGGACUGCAGGGAACUGGACUACAGUGAAGUGGACUACAGUGAUGUGGACGGUAGUGAAGUGAACGGUAGUGAAGUGGACUGCAGGGAAGUGAAGUGGACUGUAGUG